rnacentral:rRNA from 1 species
UAUUAUGAGAGUUUGAUCCUGGCUCAGGACGAACGCUGGCGGCGUGCCUAAUACAUGCAAGUCGAACGCUUCUUUCCUCCCGAGUGCUUGCACUCAAUUGGAAAGAGGAGUGGCGGACGGGUGAGUAACACGUGGGUAACCUACCCAUCAGAGGGGGAUAACACUUGGAAACAGGUGCUAAUACCGCAUAAC